rnacentral:rRNA from 1 species
UACGUAGGGUGCAAGCGUUGUCCGGAAUUAUUGGGCGUAAAGAGCUCGUAGGCGGUUUGUCGCGUCGGCUGUGAAAACUCGGGGCUUAACCCCGGGCCUGCAGUGGGUACGGGCAGACUAGAGUGCGGUAGGGGAGACUGGAAUUCCUGGUGUAGCGGUGAAAUGCGCAGAUAUCAGGAGGAACACCGGUGGCGAAGGCGGGUCUCUGGGCCGUAACUGACGCUGAGGAGCGAAAGCGUGGGGAGCGAACAGG